CUAAUUUGUCCAUUUCAACUGUUUCCCGCUCAUUCAUAGCGUAAUUUCACACGAUUUCGUUCUGCAAUGGCGAGUUUUCUCCGGUGUACGUUCACAGUCUACCCGAUCUUCACAGGUUUCUUCGACGAGUUUUUCUUCUUCGUCGAAAUCAAACCCGAUCAAAUAGGCAGAGUCUAGAAUUCGCCAGGAACUUCGUCGUCGCAGAAAGCAGACACGAGGAAUAUAGCAUACCAUUCUCAUCCUCACCCACUCACCCCCCUCAAGUUGGACGGGCUAGGAGAGAUCCCCAACUUUCCUAGAACGUUGUGGUGAGAUGGCCCAGAUAGGGCUUUGGGGAAGGGAUCAGAGACCUGAGAAGAAGCCGGAACAUAAGACAGAGAAAUCAGGUGUGCGAGGAAUUGUUUUGUGUACAAAGUGGCUAUCGGAGUAAACCAGACUAGGGAGCUCUGGCGGAGAUCCCCAUAUCAGCAAGAAGACAAUUGAGCCAUGUCAUAUCAGCCACGACUCUUCUCAUGGAGUGAUACUCAGCUCCCGCAGAGGAUAAGGAAAUGGAGACCUGUUCUUUUUGGUUCCUAGAAACAGGUGAGCCUCCAAGUGUGAUAAAAAAUCAACUGUCUGAUCGACGCCCCAAUUUGACAGAAAGAUCACUUGUCAGAAACAGAUCUUGACUGGGAUUGUUACUGAGGUAUUAAAGAACUCGCAGUGCAGCUGAAAAAUGAGAUGUCCAGGGAUCCUGUAUAUACUGAGAGAGAUGUUGCACUGCAUAACAAAUAUUUGGUUGACUAUGAGUGUGGAUCAAAAGGUGAAGAAACAAGUGGCAGAUGGGAGCAAUCAUAUUCAGAAAGAAGCUCCAAAGUGUACUUCUGUUGAGUAAUAAUGAGACCAUCAGGCUCCUUUAAAAUCUCAAGUCCCAAAAAAAUAAUGUGGGAAAAUCCAUUGAUUGGAUGGACAUCCACUGGAGACCCUUUAUCAUCCAUUGGUGAGGCAGGGUUAUCGUUUGAUAUUGUAGAUGCAACAAAGACGUAUGCUGAGAAACAUGGUUGGGAGUACGCUGUGUGACUACAUGUGGGAUUGGAAUAGGUUUUGAACUUGCAUUGCAUGCUUACAAGAUUGUGAUGUAGAAAGAGUCCCAGAAUAUGGAUAGUACCUCUCUUACGAGUUCCUUCAAGAGUUCUUGAGGUAUUUAUUAGUUAAAUUAGUGAAAGAGAAAACCGUGAUGAAAGAUAACAAGUUGAUCAGAUUUCUAGAGAAGAAAUUGAAAGAGAGCAGGCACGGACUUAUCUUCUGGGAAUGACUAAUAACUUCAAUGCUGAAGUACUAAUUUCAUAGAGUUUGAUUCAUUAGAACUUGAGUGUCAAAUUGAUUUCGUUGUAAUUGUUACUACAUGAUACACUAGCUUGACUAUGUUCCUAGGUCAAUUUUGUUGGUCUUGUUUGGAGUCUGAUAUACAGAGCUUCUUUUAACAUUUCAUUUUAAGCAGGCACUGUCACUACAUAAUACACUAGCUCGACUAUGUACCAAGGCCAAUUUUGUUGGUCGUGUUUUCAGUCUAAUGUACAGAGCUUUGUUUAACAUUCACCUUAU